GACGAACGCUGGCGUCGUGCUUAACACAUGCAAGUCGAACGGAAAGGCCCUGCUUUUGUGGGGUGCUCGAGUGGCGAACGGGUGAGUAACACGUGAGUAACCUGCCCUUGACUUUGGGAUAACUUCAGGAAACUGGGGCUAAUACCGGAUAGGAGCUCCUGCUGCAUGGUGGGGGUUGGAAAGUUUCGGCGGUUGGGGAUGGACUCGCGGCUUAUCAGCUUGUUGGUGGGGUAGUGGCUUACCAAGGCUUUGACGGGUAGCCGGCCUGAGAGGGUGACCGGCCACAUUGGGACUGAGAUACGGCCCAGACUCCUACGGGAGGCAGCAGUGGGGAAUAUUGCACAAUGGGCGGAAGUCUGAUGCAGCAACGCCGCGUGCGGGAUGACGGCCUUCGGGUUGUAACCCGCUUUCGCCUGUGACGAAGCGUGAGUGACGGUAAUGGGUAAAGAAGCACCGGCUAACUACGUG
rnacentral:rRNA from 1 species